rnacentral:rRNA from 1 species
AUUGAACGCUGGCGGCAUGCUUUACACAUGCAAGUCGAACGGCAGCGCGGGCUUCGGCCUGGCGGCGAGUGGCGAACGGGUGAGUAAUGCAUCGGAACGUGCCCAGUAGUGGAGGAUAGCCCCGCGAAAGCCGGAUUAAUACCGCAUACGACCUGAGGGUGAAAGCGGGGGACCGAAAGGCCUCGCGCUAUUGGAGCGGCCGAUGUCGGAUUAGCUAGUUGGUGGGGUAAAGGCUUACCAAGGCGACGAUCCGUAGCUGGUCUGAGAGGACGACCAGCCACACUGGGACUGAGACACGGCCCAGACUCCUACGGGAGGCAGCAGUGGGGAAUUUUGGACAAUGGGGGCAACCCUGAUCCAGCCAUGCCGCGUGCGGGAAGAAGGCCUUCGGGUUGUAAACCGCUUUUGUUCGGGAAGAAAUCCUCUGGGCUAAUACCCCGGGGGGAUGACGGUACCGGAAGAAUAAGCACCGGCUAACUACGUG